AUUGAACGCUGGCGGCAUGCCUUCCACAUGCAAGUCGAACGGCAGCACGGACUUCGGUCUGCUGGCGAGUGGCGAACGGGUGAGUAAUAUAUCGGAACAUACCUUGUCGCGGGGGAUAACUAUCCGAAAGGAUAGCUAAUACCGCAUACGAUCUAAGGAUGAAAGCGGGGUAUCUUCGGACCUCGUCCCAUCAGAGUGGACGAUAUCUGAUUAGCUAGUUGGCGAGGUAAAGGCUCACCAAGGCGUCGAGCAUUAGCUGGUCUGAGAGGACGACCAACCACACUGGAAGUGAGGCACGAUCCAGACUCCUACCGGAGGCAGCAGUGGAGUAUUUUGGACAAUGGAGGCAAACAUGAUCCAGCAAUGCCGCUUGCAGGAAGAGGUCCUGCGGGUUGUAAACUGCUUUUGUCAGGGAAGAAGUCCUCUAGGUUAAUACCCUUGGGGGGAUGACGGUACCUUAAGAAUAAGCACCGGCUAACUACGUGCCAGCCGCCGCUGUAAAAC
rnacentral:rRNA from 1 species